AUGGCCGAAGCAAUUGUAGGUUUACUGAUCGUCAAGCUGGGUGCGGCCUUGGCGAACGAGGCAGCAACCUUCGACACAUCGCUGCUUUGCAAUGAAGCCUCGGCCCUCAAGGGUCUGCUCGGUCAGAUCAGUGAAGCCAAGUAUGAGCUUGAAAGUAUGCAGGCAUAUCUGAAAGGUGCAGAGCGGUUCAAGGACGCCGAUGAUAGAACUGGCCUCUUUGUCGAGAGGAUCAGGGGCUUCGCUUUCGAGAUCGAAGAUGUGGUCGACGAGUUCACCUAUAAGUUGGAGGAGAAGCAUGGAGGGUUUGUUGCCAAGAUGAAGAAGAGGAUCAAGCAUGUCAAGACCUGGCGCCGACUUGCGCACACGUUUAAAGAUAUCAAUGGCAGACUUCAAGGUGCUAUACAAAGGAAGGAGCACUACGCCAUGCCAGAAAUUGGCAGAAAUGAUGGCCACAUGGCUCAUCGAGUUUUCAAUUUCUCAAGGGACGAGGACCAUGUAGGGAUCUUUGAGCACAAGCAGCAAUUGAUGCAAUGGCUGACAGGUGACAUGCAAGACAAAAGAAUCAAGAUUUCCACUGUGUGA
rnacentral:rRNA from 1 species